UAAAAAAAAAAAAAAAAAUUUAAAAAAAUGAUACCUUGAAAAAAAAAAAUGAUACAUUAAAAAAAAAAAUUAAUUCUUUUGAUGAUCUCUUUAUGGUCAUAGUGUUUGCUAUUCCUCCACCAUCUUCCGAGUUUGUGAUUGGCACUAGGUUUGAGGGUUACUUAGUAGAAUAUUCAUAGCAGAUUUCACUAGUGAGUCCACAACUUCUCAGCCGCCUAAGAGUGAGAGUUCCCUUAUACCUUCUACUAUGACUGAUAAUCUCAACCCUGGCCUUAAAAUCACUUCUCUAUUCAAUGGUCAGAACUAUCUAGCAUGGUCGCAGAGUCUGACUAUUUUCUUGAAGAGCAGAGGGAAGAUUGGGUAUGUUGAUGGCAGAAUAUAGGCACCCAUCACCAUAGACUCGAGUUAUGAUUAGUGGGAGAUCAUUAACUCCCUUAUUAUGGGUUGGUUGAUACAUUCUAUGGUCUCAGAGAUUGAAGUACUCUAUAGACACUACACAAGAUAUUUGGGAGCCGUGACUAACACUUACUCCGGGAAGGGGAACUUCUCCUAGGCUUUUGAGUUACGUCACUCCAUUGAAAGGUCAUUACAAGGUAAGAUGACUAUCCUUUAGUAUUUUACCUUCCUUAGCAAUGGGUGAAAGCGAUUUGAUCACCUUCAGGAUUACAAACCAGUCUGUCUCACUGAUUCUGUUGAUUACCGGAAGCUUGUGGCGCAAGAGCGGGUUUUCAAGUUCUUGGAGGCUUAAAUGUGGAGUAUGAUCUGGUUCAGAGCAGAGUACUUGGCAUGGAUGUGCUUCCUUGUCUCCAGGAAGCCUUUGCUUUUGUGCAGAAUGAAGAGAGUCGCCGCUCUGCGAUGCUUCUUUUUGCCACUACUGAUCACUCGGCCUUGGUUUCUACACCUCUUCGCAAUGGAGACCAUGUGACUCGUGGUUCUUGUCCUUCAUCUGAAAAGGAUAAUCUUUUCUGUGACUACUGCCGUAGACCUCGCCACACACGAGAGACUUGUUGGAAGCUGCAUGGGCCUCCUUCUGGUGGCCGAGGAGACCAGCCUGGUACUCGAGGGGAUACGUCUGGUCAGUCUAAAGGCUGAGGGGCCAAUGCUCGGACAAUCUUUCGGACACGGUUGAGCCACCAUCUUCUUCCCCAGUUGUCUCUUCUACUGCUGAUGUUUCGGGGUUAUCUGCCUCGGAUUUUGAGAUUGCUCUUCGCCACUUGCUAGAUUAUCGAGCCUCCACUUCUGUUCCAGGAUCUUAUCACGAGGAAGAGGAUUGACAGUGGUAGAGAGGAACAUGGUCUCUACAUUCUGAAUCAGACAAACAAGCUGGCUCAUUCAUCUAUUCAGUUAUUAUCCACCAAAGACGACGUUUAGCUGUGGCACCGUCGCUUAGGACAUCCUUCAUUUUUAUUACUUAAGCAUUUAUUUCCUUUUGUUUUUGAGAAAAAUAAUGUGUCAGAUUUUCAAUGUGAGUCUUGUUGACAUGGAAAACAAAACAGAGCCUCUUUUAUUCUUUCUAUUAAUAAAAGUUCAGUUUCAUUUUUUUUAUUCA